UAGAGAUCGUAGAGAGAGUGGCGAGAUCACGAUUGCAGUGAGGGGGAGGGUUUUGCGCUGCGAACACUGCAGCUUUUCUGCUCUCGUUUCUUUUAUUCAGAGCUACAACGAACUUCGUGAAAGUAAGGGAAAAACUAGCGAGGCCCGAGUCACGAUCGCUGCCAUCCCAGCGAUCCUCGCGCGUCGCACGUCUAACGGCCUCGACCAUCUACUUCGUGCCAUCCCACGAUCAAGUCAAGGCCGUGAUAACAGCUAACAAACUACGGCCGAGG
rnacentral:lncRNA from 1 species